rnacentral:rRNA from 4 species
AGACCCGAAACCCGGUGAUCUAGCCAUGGGCAGGUUGAAGGUUGGGUAACACUAACUGGAGGACCGAACCGACUAAUGUUGAAAAAUUAGCGGAUGACCUGUGGCUGGGGGUGAAAGGCCAAUCAAACCGGGAGAUAGCUGGUUCUCCCCGAAAGCUAUUUAGGUAGCGCCUCGUGAAUUCAUCUCCGGGGGUAGAGCACUGUUUCGGCUAGGGGGCCAUCCCGGCUUACCAACCCGAUGCAAACUGCGAAUACCGGAGAAUGUUAUCACGGGAGACACACGGCGGGUGCUAACGUCCGUCGUGAAGAGGGAAACAACCCAGACCGCCAGCUAAGGUCCCAAAGUCAUGGUUAAGUGGGAAACGAUGUGGGAAGGCCCAGACAGCCAGGAUGUUGGCUUAGAAGCAGCCAUCAUUUAAAGAAAGCGUAAUAGCUCACUGGUCGAGUCGGCCUGCGCGGAAGAUGUAACGGGGCUAAACCAUGCACCGAAGCUGCGGCAGCGAACGUAUCACCCAAGACAACUUUACGGAGUUGACGAUUGACGGAGCGAAGCGACGUCAAAGCGUUCAUUAAAGUCGAGUUGGCUUAGGGAUACGUUCGUUGGGUAGGGGAGCGUUCUGUAAGCCUGUGAAGGUGUGUCGUGAGGCAUGCUGGAGGUAUCAGAAGUGCGAAUGCUGACAUAAGUAACGAUAAAGCGGGUGAAAAGCCCGCUCGCCGGAAGACCAAGGGUUCCUGUCCAACGUUAAUCGGGGCAGGGUGAGUCGACCCCUAAGGCGAGGCCGAAAGGCGUAGUCGAUGGGAAACGGGUUAAUAUUCCCGUACUUGGUGUUACUGCGAAGGGGGGACGGAGAAGGCUAUGUUGGCCGGGCGACGGUUGUCCCGGUUUAAGCGUGUAGGUGUGUGUUCCAGGUAAAUCCGGUUCACUUUAACACUGAGGCGUGACGACGAGGCACUACGGUGCUGAAGCAACAAAUGCCCUGCUUCCAGGAAAAGCCUCUAAGCAUCAGGUAACACGAAAUCGUACCCCAAACCGACACAGGUGGUCAGGUAGAGAAUACCAAGGCGCUUGAGAGAACUCGGGUGAAGGAACUAGGCAAAAUGGUGCCGUAACUUCGGGAGAAGGCACGCUGACACGUAGGUGAAGUGAUUUACUCAUGGAGCUGAAGUCAGUCGAAGAUACCAGCUGGCUGCAACUGUUUAUUAAAAACACAGCACUGUGCAAACACGAAAGUGGACGUAUACGGUGUGACGCCUGCCCGGUGCCGGAAGGUUAAUUGAUGGGGUCAGCGUAAGCGAAGCUCCUGAUCGAAGCCCCGGUAAACGGCGGCCGUAACUAUAACGGUCCUAAGGUAGCGAAAUUCCUUGUCGGGUAAGUUCCGACCUGCACGAAUGGCGUAAUGAUGGCCAGGCUGUCUCCACCCGAGACUCAGUGAAAUUGAACUCGCUGUGAAGAUGCAGUGUACCCGCGGCAAGACGGAAAGACCCCGUGAACCUUUACUAUAGCUUGACACUGAACAUUGAGCCUUGAUGUGUAGGAUAGGUGGGAGGCUUUGAAGUGUGGACGCCAGUCUGCAUGGAGCCGACCUUGAAAUACCACCCUUUAAUGUUUGAUGUUCUAACGUGGACCCGUAAUCCGGGUUGCGGACAGUGUCUGGUGGGUAGUUUGACUGGGGCGGUCUCCUCCUAAAGAGUAACGGAGGAGCACGAAGGUUGGCUAAUCCUGGUCGGACAUCAGGAGGUUAGUGCAAUGGCAUAAGCCAGCUUGACUGCGAGCGUGACGGCGCGAGCAGGUGCGAAAGCAGGUCAUAGUGAUCCGGUGGUUCUGAAUGGAAGGGCCAUCGCUCAACGGAUAAAAGGUACUCCGGGGAUAACAGGCUGAUACCGCCCAAGAGUUCAUAUCGACGGCGGUGUUUGGCACCUCGAUGUCGGCUCAUCACAUCCUGGGGCUGAAGUAGGUCCCAAGGGUAUGGCUGUUCGCCAUUUAAAGUGGUACGCGAGCUGGGUUUAGAACGUCGUGAGACAGUUCGGUCCCUAUCUGCCGUGGGCGCUGGAGAACUGAGGGGGGCUGCUCCUAGUACGAGAGGACCGGAGUGGACGCAUCACUGGUGUUCGGGUUGUCAUGCCAAUGGCACUGCCCGGUAGCUAAAUGCGGAAGAGAUAAGUGCUGAAAGCAUCUAAGCACGAAACUUGCCCCGAGAUGAGUUCUCCCUGAGACUUAGAGUCUCCUGAAGGAACGUUGAAGACGACGACGUUGAUAGGCCGGGUGUGUAAGCGCAGCGAUGCGUUGAGCUAACCGGUACUAAUGAACCGUGAGGCUUAACCUUACAACGCCGAAG